AUUGAACGCUGGCGGCAUGCUUUACACAUGCAAGUCGAACGGCAGCACGGACUUCGGUCUGGUGGCGAGUGGCGAACGGGUGAGUAAUACAUCGGAACGUGCCCAGUUGUGGGGGAUAACUACUCGAAAGAGUAGCUAAUACCGCAUGAGAACUGAGGUUGAAAGCAGGGGAUCGUAAGACCUUGCGCAACUGGAGCGGCCGAUGGCAGAUUAGGUAGUUGGUGGGAUAAAAGCUUACCAAGCCGACGAUCUGUAGCUGGUCUGAGAGGACGACCAGCCACACUGGGACUGAGACACGGCCCAAACGCCUACGGGAGGCAGCAGUGGGGAAUUUUGGACAAUGGGCGAAAGCCUGAUCCAGCAAUGCCGCGUGCAGGAUGAAGGCCUUCGGGUUGUAAACUGCUUUUGUACGGAACGAAAAGCUUCGGGUUAAUACCCUGGAGUCAUGACGGUACCGUAAGAAUAAGCACCGGCUAACUACGUGCCAGCCGCCCCGUAA
rnacentral:rRNA from 1 species